rnacentral:rRNA from 1 species
CCCUUAGAUGUUCUGGGCAGCACGCGCGCUACAAUGGUCUUCGCAAACGGAUGCAUUCUCGAAGGAGAAUGCCAAUCUUGGAAUCUAUGCCUUGGUCGGGACAGUUGCUUGCAAUUUUUCGACUCGAACCAGGAAUUCCUUGUAAUCGUGAUUCAUCACAUCACGAUGAAUACGUCCCUGCCCUUUGUACACACCGCCCGUCGCUCCUACCGAUCGAAUGUGUUGGUGAGGAGCUCGGAUUGGCAGCAGUUGGUGGUUCGCCACCGGCUAUUGCUGAGAAGUCCUCCAAACCGCCCCAUUUAGAGGAAGGAGAAGUCGUAACA